CUCGGCGGGGCGGUGGGGGGCGGCUGCGCGGCGCUCGGGGGCUGGCUGUCGGCGGCGCUGCCGCCAGCGACACCAUCGAGCAGGUGUCUGCGGAGGGGACUCGCCGGCCCCGGCCCUCGCCCGUCGCCUCCGAGCUGUCGCCGCCUCCAACCAUCACGAUCUCACCGGAGUUAAGGCUGCAAGGAGAGCCUCUAGUUGUUUCAGCGCGAAGCUGCAGCAGUAGAGAGCGGUGGGUUUUCCAGUCAGGAAUUCUUGGAGAGGUCUCCAUGGAGCUGUGCAUUUUAAAAUCCUGAUCUGAAAAAUUUACACAGGCUAUAGAGAACUUCUCCAACUCCUUCCAAAGUAGGUACUUACCAAAAAUUUUACUUUUGUUUGAGUGAAAAUGUUACUGGUACUCCUCCUUCCUAAUCCCAUGUGAAAUAUAUUUGUGAGACACCUGGCCUGUAUGGGGGAAGGGCAUUUGUAUCUCCUUCUGUGGCAGCAGCUGCUUCUUUCAGUUGGCA
rnacentral:lncRNA from 1 species